rnacentral:rRNA from 2 species
GGACUACUGGGGUUUCUAAUCCUGUUUGCUCCCCACGCUUUCGUGCCUCAGCGUCAGUGCUGGUCCAGAUGGCCGCCUUCGCCACGGGUGUUCCUCCCGAUCUCUACGCAUUUCACCGCUACACCGGGAAUUCCACCAUCCUCUACCGCACUCUAGCUCGCCAGUAUCCACUGCAAUUCCCAGGUUGAGCCCAGGGCUUUCACAACGGACUUAACAAACCGCCUACGCACGCUUUACGCCCAGUAAUUCCGAGUAACGCUUGCACCCUUCGUAUUACCGCGGCGGCUGGCAC